rnacentral:lncRNA from 1 species
AUAAGGAUCCACUUCUUCAUCUUCCUCCUCGUCAACAUCAACAUCGGCCUCGGUGACGACCUUACCGGCUAAUCCAGGGUGAUAAACAAACGUGAUACCAGGUCUCUUCACAUAAGACAACAUUAUGGAAGUGUUGUAGUGAACAAAAUAAACAUUGAAAUCUUUCUGAUCAAUUGGAUAUGAAGGUAGAAACCAAUCACUAACAUUUGCAUUCAAAAGCUCUCCUACCCCAAUAUCAAUAAGAUAUGAAGGUAGAAACCAAUCACUAACAUUUGCAUUCAAAAGCUCUCCUACCCCAAUAUCAAUAUACACCAACCUCUUCCUAGUAGAAACAUCUACAAACUUGGGCAAAUAUGAAACCGGCG